AUGCCUGUCUUGUCUUUGAGUUCUCCUUCAAUGCCCUCUGGGUCCGGUAGCUUGAUGUCCAGGUCAUCGCCUUUGACUUUGAUGUCACUGGAGGGAAGAGAAACAUCCACUGAUCCCGAUGGCAGAGUAAUCUGGGCUUGGGGACUCUUGACCUCGGGAAUCUUGACAGUCGGCAGCUUAACUUCAGGCCCCUCGAGUGUGACUUUCUCUCCUGUUUUCCCCACAGAGGCUGUCAUGUCCACGUUGAGGCUGCGGGCUGUCAUGUCCACUUCAGGCUGGCUGAGUACCACAUCCACAGGGGGUAUCGGAAUGGUCACCUGGGGUCCCUUGAGACUGCUGUCCACUUCCUCCACUGACCCCGAGUCCUUGCUGGAGGACCAGCCAAAGGCUGGCAUGCUGAAUUUGGGCAUUUUGAACUUGCCAUCUUUGUCCUUGGCUCCCUCGGCUCCCAGUUUGAUCUCUCCCUCCAUCUUGCCAGUCUCGACUGCCGCACCCGGAGUCUGGAUGUCCACUUCAACCUUGGGGAGGGUCACGUCCACUCUGGGGAUGCUGACAUCCACCUUGGAAGCCUUUACAUCUGUUUUGGGCAUUUUGACACUGGGCAUUUGGAUCUUCCGUCCGGACAUCUCAGGUGACACCUCAGGGGCUUCUGGCAUUGAGAUCUCGAGGCCUGGGGUAUCCACAGAGACCCCUCCCACAGCCGCACUGACCUUGGGCAAUGAGACAUCCUUGUCACCCUUGGUGAUGCUAAUGGUGGUCUCAGGGCCUUUGUCCUUCGACAAUGACAUGCCAAACUUAGGUUUCUGGAAACUAGGCAUUUUGAUCUUCUUAUCGAAACCUUUCACUCUGACAUCCGGCCCCUCCAGAGUGACCUCUGAUGGUGGAGCAUCCGGGCUCUUGCCCUGGACAGAGCCUGCCUCUGCCGGCAGCUUGAUAUCCACCUGUGGAAGGCUGAAAUCUGACCCUCCGGCAACAUCAAUGUUGGGUGUGGCGAUGUCCACAGUAGGGACGCUGACCUCAGCCUUGGGGAGACUGAGGUCAACACUACCUUCAGGAACUUUUUUGUCACCCUUGGAAAAGCUAAUGCUGGGCAUCUUGACCUUUGGCAUGUGA
rnacentral:lncRNA from 1 species